AGCUUAGGGAGGCGGGCGCCACGCCACGAGGAGGCUGCCCUGAUAGCCGGUGCAAGUGCUCCUUGGCGGGGCGGCCCGCGACUCCCGCCUUGGACCGUUCACUCCCUGAGGGGCCUGGGGGUCAGUCAGAAGACUAACGACCACCAGUCACCGAGAGCUCAGUUCGUGCCAAACCCUGCUCGCGCUGUCCCCGACUUAUUGUUCACAACGACCCUACAAGUCAUUCUCCUUCCCACUGGGAACCGAGGAUCAGAGGGAAGUCAUGGCCCGAGUGCCCCGGUCACACCUCCGUGAGCGGCCUCGGGCUCGCGGUUGAGGCUGAUUGAGGAAGUGGGUUCAGGCGGCCCGCCGUGCCUGGCACACGGUCAGAGUCCCCUGACAGGACUUUCCCCUUUCUCUGAGAUGACAAUCAGGCCGCUUUGCUUUGCACUGCCCUCAGAGAAGCAGUGUGCCCAGAAGUCAAGUGUGAGCUCUUGAGUCAAAAUGCUUGGAUUUGAAUUCCAACUCUGCUGCUUACCAGCUGUGUGACAUGGGGUGAGUGAGUUACCUGACCUCUCUGUACCUCUAUGUCAUCAUCUUUAAAAUGGAGCCCACAGCAACCAGGGAAAUAGUCUAACAGAAGCCUAGGAUGAAGAAUUUCGGGAAAGAAGAAACGUCCAGCAAGGCCAAGUCCCUUUGUGUGUCAGUCUGCUUUCUCUCUCACACAUACGUGCACACAGGCUCGUACACACAAAGAUGUUAAGCAAAAUAUAAAGCCCCUCCACUGAUA
rnacentral:lncRNA from 1 species